rnacentral:lncRNA from 1 species
AAGUAAUCCAAGUCUAUGCCCCAACCAGUAAUGCUGAAGAAGCUGAAGUUGAACGGUUCUAUGAAGACCUACAAGACCUUUUAGAACGAACACCCAAAAAAGAUGUCCUUUUCAUUAUAGGGGCCUGGAAUGCAAAAGUAGGAAGUCAAGAAACACCUGGAGUAACAGGCAAAUUUGGCCUUGGAAUAUGGAAUGAAGCAGGGCAAAGACUAAGAGAGUUUUGCCAAGAAAAUGCACUGGUCAUAGCAAACACCCUCUCCCAAAAACACAAGAGAAGACUCUACACAUGGACAUCACCAGAUGGUCAACACCGAAACCAGAUUGAUUAUAUUCUUUGCAGCCAAAGAUAGAGAAGCUCUAUAUGGUCAACAAAAACAAGAGCAGGAGCUGACUGUUGGCUCAGAUCAUGAACUCUUUAUUGCCAAAUUCAGACUGAAAUUGAAGAAAGUAGGGAAAACCACUAGACCAUUCAGGGAUGACCUAAAUCAAAUCCCUUAUGAUUAUACAGAAGAAGUGAGAAAUAGAUUUAAGGGACUAGAUCUGAUAGAUAGAGUGCCUGAUGAACUAUGGAUGGAGGUUCGUGACACUGUACAAGAGACAGGGAUCAAGACCAUCCCCAUGGAAAAGAAAUGCAAAAAAGCAAAAUGGCUAUCUGAGGAGGCCUUACAAAUAGCUGUGAAAAGAAGAGAAGCGAAAAGCAAAGGAGAAAGGGAAAGAUAUAAGCAUCUGAAUGCAGAGUUCCAAAGAAUAGCAAGAAGAUAUAAGAAAGCCUUCCUCAGCGAUCAAUGCAAAGAAAUAGAGGAAAACAACAGAAUGGGAAAGAUUAGAGAUCUCUUCAAGAAAAUCAGAGAUACCAAGGGAACAUUUUAUGCAAAGAUGGGCUCAAUAAAGGACAGAAAUGAUAUGGACCUAACAGAAGCAGAAGAUAUUAAGAAGAGGUGGCAGAAAUACACAGAAGAACUAUACAAAAAGGAUCUUCAUGACCAAAAUAAUCACAAUGGUGUUAUCACUGACCUAGAGCCAGACAUCCUGGAAUGUGAAGUCAAGUGGGCCUUACAAAGCAUCACUAUGAAC